rnacentral:rRNA from 1 species
GAUGAAUGCUGGCGGCGUGCCUAACACAUGCAAGUCGAGCGGCAGCGCGAGUAGUUUACUACUUGGCGGCGAGCGGCGGACGGCUGAGUAACGCGUGGGAACGUGCCCCAAAGUGAGGAAUAACUGCCCGAAAGGGUGGCUAAUGCCGCAUAUGAUCUUCGGAUUAAAGUCUUCGGACGCUUUGGGAGCGGCCCGCGUCGGAUUAGGUUGUUGGUGAGGUAAUGGCUCACCAAGCCGAAGAUCGGUAGCUGGUCUGAGAGGAUGAUCAGCCAGACUGGGACUGAGACACGGCCCAGACUCCUACGGGAGGCAGCAGUGGGGAAUAUUGGACAAUGGGCGGAAGCAUGAUCCAGCCAGGCCGCGUGUGUGAAGAAGGCCUUUUGGUUGUAAAGCACUUUAAGCGAGGAGGAGGCUGCCUGGAUUAAUACUCUAGGAUAGUGGACGUUACUCGCAGAAUAAGCACCGGCUA